UUUAUAUGAAAAGAGAUGUUCCAUUAUGAUAUAAUUAAUUUUUUUUUCUUUUUAAAAUGCCCCUUCUUCUUCGAAUCCAUCACCCCAUGCCCUUUUUCAUUCGAACCUCAUCACCCCUACCCUGUCUUUUUCUUCUUUGCGCAAAUUUGAUUUUCUUUUUCUUCUUUUUAAACUCCCCAUCUCUAUCUCUACCACAUUUUAUCAAUUUUUUCAAGAAAGAAAAGAAUGUAGAUAAUGAAGUUAAGAUUUUAACACUUUUUUCAUAAAUUUCAUUACUGAGAAGAAAGGAAAUCAUCAUUUCUUCUUCUUUUAAAGCUUAAUUAAAGGAAAAAGGAAUCAUUUCUUCUUCUUUUAAAAUUCAAUUUUUUACAAGUAGAACAAUUUUUUUAAAUUUUAUGAUAUUUAAUACUUAAUAUUAUUGAAAACAAGAUAUGAUUAAUUCUUUUUUGCUCUAAAGCUGCUCAACAUGUCUUAGUUUAAAUUUUUUGUAUUUAUGGUUCUUCAAAUACGAUGUACAUUGUUGAUUUUUUCCUUCAAGUUUUAAAAUUGUAAAUUGAUUGAUUUUUAGGGUGCAAAACGAAUAAGAAGAAGGUGAAAAGAAAAAUUGAAGCAAGAGAAAAAAUGAAGAGUGUGGAGGAUCACAAGGAUAAAGGCGCGGGUUGUGGAAGUUUGAAGAACAAGAAAGAAGGUCUGAAGGUAACAAGAUACUCCGAUCAUUAUUCAGUGAAUAAUUCAAGUGGAUAAGAAAACGAAAAGGACCUGGACAUGAUUUCUAAAACUGAUAGAAAAGUUAUUAAAUCUGAAAAAUGGUGAAAGUGUCACCUUUAUGUUUGACAUGAAA